GACGAACGCUGGCGGCGUGCUUAACACAUGCAAGUCGAACGGAAAGGCCCUGCUUUUGUGGGGUGCUCGAGUGGCGAACGGGUGAGUAACACGUGAGUAACCUGCCCUUGACUUUGGGAUAACUUCAGGAAACUGGGGCUAAUACCGGAUAGGAGCUCCUGCUGCAUGGUGGGGGUUGGAAAGUUUCGGCGGUUGGGGAUGGACUCGCGGCUUAUCAGCUUGUUGGUGGGGGAGUGGCUUACCAAGGCUUUGACGGGUAGCCGGCCUGAGAGGGUGACCGGCCACCUUGGGACUGAGAUACGGCCCAGACUCCUACGGGGGGCAGCAGUGGGGAAUAUUGCACAAUGGGCGGAAGCCUGAUGCAGCAACGCCGCGUGCGGGAUGACGGCCUUCGGGUUGUAAACCGCUUUCGCCUGUGACGAAGCGUGAGUGACGGUAAUGGGUAAAGAAGCACCGGCUAACUACGUG
rnacentral:rRNA from 1 species